CUGCAGACACUGCGGCCCUCCAGGACUGGAGUUAAACCUGCAGACACUGGGGCCCUCCAGGACUGGAGUUAAACCUGCAGACACUGCGGCCCUCCAGGACUGGAUUAAACCCGCAGACACUGCGGCCCUCUAGGACUGGAGUUGGUUAACCCCACGUCACAAACUUGCACUCACACUCAAACACACAGUCUCUCUCAAACCAAACCAAAUAAACCAAACACAGGACCGAGAAUUUUUACCACAGUCCUCAACAGCUGCAUCUUAUCCCUCUCAGAGAAAGAAGGUGAGAGAGAGAGAGAGCGAGAGGUAGAGAGAGAGUCACCAUUUUUCUGCCCUGUCCCCCCCCCCCCUUCACCAGAAUGUCUCUGGCUUUGCCCCUUACCCCCUACUUUGAGUGGAGUUUUUGAUCAGACUCCCCCCCCCCCCCCCUCCAGAAGUAGUUAUAUCACAUGGUUAUUGUCUUCCAUCUUACUGUGUUCUGUUUGUGAUUGUUGUUAUGAUUAUUGUUAUGACUAUUGUUAUUAUUAUUAUUAUUGUUAUUGCAGUUGUUGUUCUCUGAAUCCAUGUUUUUUCUGUACACUGUCAUUAUGUGACCUGCUGGACAGGAAGUUACAUGACAAUAAUUAAAAAAAAGGCUGUGGGCGGGGCUACACGUGGGGGUGGGCGGGGCUACUGGUGGGCUGGAGCAGUUGGGCUACUUGAACCCUUGUAUUUUCCCAGCUCUUGAUAUAUGAAAUUAUAUGAAUGGAUAUUUGUGUUGUUUUUGUGCUGUUGUGUACUGUACUCUUUACUUAAUUUGGGAAUAAUUAGUAAUAACAAUGAUGAUAAUAAUAAUUAUUAUAUUAAUAAUGAUGAUGAUGUUGAUUAUCAGAUUAGGGAAUGAGAUCUUGCCUGCCUUUUUACACAUUUUUAUACUUACCAAAAAAAAAGUUAAAUAAAAUGUUUUUAAAAAUUGUAA